AAUCUUUAGGCAGUUUUUUUAAGGAAAAAAAAACAACUAAAAUUGAUAAUAUUAAGCGGUGUUAUUUGAAGAAUCCAACAUUUCACCAGCAAACUUUGGCGUACUUAACUUUUUCGGCAUC